rnacentral:rRNA from 1 species
UACGGGGGGGGCAAGCGUUGUUCGGAAUUACUGGGCGUAAAGGGCGCGUAGGCGGCCUGCUAAGUCGGAUGUGAAAUCCCUCGGCUCAACCGAGGAACUGCAUCCGAUACUGGCGGGCUUGAAUCCGGGAGAGGGAUGCGGAAUUCCAGGUGUAGCGGUGAAAUGCGUAGAUAUCUGGAGGAACACCGGUGGCGAAGGCGGGUCUCUGGGCCGAUACUGACGCUGAGGAGCGAAAGCGUGGGGAGCGAACAGG